AGGUCGUAUGGAAAUAUUUUUUUUUUAUUUUUAAGACAUAAUUGUAGUCCAAUAUAAUUUAUUUAUUAUUUCCAUGCCUUCAUUCUAAUGUGAAGGUAUCUUAUGUAAUGGUGCAAUGGAUAAAAGCGCAGCCAUCAUUGAUCAAGACAUAUAUAUUUAAGGUAAUGCAUCGUCGUUGCAUGCAUGUCACAUUUUUAUUCACCUUUAAUCAUGGCUUCCUGUACGAAGAUUUGGUAUAUGCUGUGAAAAUAUGUGAAUUAGUGUUGUUUUGAUGUUUUUUUCCAAAGACUCGAUGAAACGAAGAAAAAAAAAGAUAUCUUUUUUAAUAUAUGAAUUAUCUUUCUUAGGGAAUCCUAUCAAACACAUGAUACACACUAUUUAUCAUUAUUAUUAAUAAGUUUUCUUUCAAGACAGAAAAAGUUGUAUGUUUUUUUUGGAAAGGAAAAAAUUUAUAUUGAUUUCAAUACGGUAAUGAGAAACGACAGACCAAAAGGAAACCAAUCCUGUAUGUAUACUUGCAUGAUAUGUAAAUCAGAGAACAAAAAUCUCAAGUGCCAUGAAGAGAUUGUGAUUUUGAAUGUCUUUUGUGUGAAAUGGAAAUCAGAUUUGAUUGUAGUUCUUUACUGCAUUUGCAGAGAGAGAACAGGAGAGGGAGAAAGAGAGAGGUAAGAAAGAGGAGAGAGAGAGAGAGGGGUGAAUUUAGUAGAGAUAAAUAAAUUUUUUAAUUGUAUUAGGUUAUAAUAAUUAUUUACACCUGUUUGAGCUUUAUGGAGAAAUAGUCACUUAAUUGUAAAUAUUAGAGGUUAUAAAUUUUUAUGGAUAUAGAGAGAAAAAAUAUACAGGAUCAAUUUCUUGUUAAACAGGGUGUUUCUUUGGACUGACAUAAAGGUCACUGCAAUGUUAUAUAUACAUGUAUCUUUGGAAAGAAAAGUAAGCCCACCUUUUAAUAUUAGAAAGUAAACAUUCAGCAUACAAUACUUUUGAAUAAAAUUCAAAAUGAAUAGUCAUUGAGACACAGUGUGACCCAGCAUGUAUAUGUAGUUAAAUGUUAUUAUGUGGAAAGAUUCUUAUGUCAUGCAGAUUGUAUCACAGAUUCCUAUCUUUAGUUCAAGGUACAUGUAUCCCCAGUAGAUGACUGAUAUGUUAUAAGUUACAAGGAGGCUCUGGCAAAUCAUAAAAUGAUGACACCAGAUGUAGACAUUGGGAUAAGAAGUCACUGGCAGAUUUAGCCUCCAUUACUUGUAGACUACAGCCAGGUGUAUCUUAACUCUGAAUGAAAGAAUCAGAGUCUGUAAACUUGGAAUCAUGUCCAUUAAGAAAUUGGGUCCAAUGUCAUGGUCUUUUUCAUUACAUCUUUUAAUUUACUUAUUUUUUUUUUAAUUUUUAACCAAAAAAUUCUUCAUUACAUGGAUAAUUGUCUCAAUCUUCAAUCAAGCUUUUUUUCUCUUUCUUUCAUUAUAUGGGCCAUUUAGGCCGGAUUGUAAACAGCUCUAUAACUGUAUUCUUUGUUUACAUGCUUUAAUUAUUUACUGUAGUGCUAACCCAGCACUUUUCUGUAGAUUUGUUACUGGUCUGUUCAGUGUUUGUUAAAAAUAAACACAAUUAGUG
rnacentral:misc_RNA from 1 species